rnacentral:rRNA from 1 species
CCUACGGUGUGCAGCAGUGAGGAAUAUUGGUCAAUGGGCGCGAGCCUGAACCAGCCAAGUAGCGUGAAGGAUGACUGCCCUACGGGUUGUAAACUUCUUUUAUAAAGGAAUAAAGUGAGGCACGUGUGCCUUUUUGUAUGUACUUUAUGAAUAAGGAUCGGCUAACUCCGUGCCAGCAGCCGCGGUAAUACGGAGGAUCCGAGCGUUAUCCGGAUUUAUUUGGUUUAAAGGGAGCGUAGAUGGGUUGUUAAGUCAGUUGUGAAAGUUUGCGGCUCAACCGUAAAAUUGCAAUUGAUACUGGCAGUCUUGAGUACAGUUGAGGUAGGCGGAAUUCGUGGUGUAGCGGUGAAAUGCUUAGAUAUCACGAAGAACCCCGAGUGCGAAGGCAGCUUACUAAACUGUGACUGACAUUGAUGCUCGAAAGUGUGGGUAUCAAACAGGAUUAGAUACCCGGGUAGUC